rnacentral:miRNA from 1 species
UGGGCUGCUGAGAAGGGGCA